GAGUAACUAUGACUCUCU
rnacentral:ncRNA from 3 species